CAGCAUAUUAAGCCAAGCAGUCCUGCUCUUGUGGUUCAACAGAGAGUCCUCCAAGAGAUUCUGCUCAUGUUAUAUACCAGGAGGGUGGCCAGGCAAGCUGCAGUAUGCACAUCAGGAUAGGAUGUCAGGGCUUGCACUGUCUCUUCAUCUUAAUUUGGUUUUCAUUUUGCACAUCAGUGAUUUUAAUUACUUCUGAGUAAGUAAGCCCGAGGGUCAGCAGUGUCAUUUGGCGGAUAGCAUACUGAAAGACACUACCCCAAGAAAAGCCUCUACAGUGUACAUGUCAGUGUCUGAUGUCUUCAUUUUCCCAUAAGAGCAAGAGUUAAGAUGGGGAAGGCAGAGAAAUCCAACUGAAGAAAGCUUUCAAAGUGGAUGGAGCAGAAAGCAUGAGCAGCAGCAUGUCAAGUUCAACCCAAGAACAACUUUGUCUGUGCUUUCACAACUAAAAUCCAAGACCAAAGCUAGUGCGGAUUUCCAGUCAGUGCUGUGCGCCAGCAGAAUGCUGUUGAUAUUCUUAUGGCUAAUGUGCCUCAAAGAGGAUCCCAUUAGUUUUCCGAACUGUAGAAUUCUCCACGGUUGACACUUUCUCACUGAACUCUCACGAUUGUUUGGUUUCAAAGUCUGUUGGGCUCAAGAUGCAUUUUGUUUUAAAUAAUCCUUCAUGAAAAAUUCAGCUUGCAGUCUGAUUUGAUUGAAACUCAGCCCGAGUUUGUUUUAUAAUGCAUUUGGACUGGGAAGCCUACGAGCAGUGAAUUAUUCAAGACAUACAGACAAAUGAGGGAUCUGUGCUCACACAUGGGGAGGGGUGAUCAAAAAAUAAGAAAAAUUUGACAUGUCUUGUUAUCUUAUUUUAUUUACCUUUAAAACUCCUCCAAAUAUUAGAGGAAAGAAACCAGUCUUCACCUCUGUCAGGUUCUG
rnacentral:lncRNA from 1 species